AACGAACGCUGGCGGCAUGCCUAACACAUGCAAGUCGAACGAGACCUUCGGGUCUAGUGGCGCACGGGUGCGUAACGCGUGGGAACCUGCCCUUAGGUUCGGAAUAACUCUCCGAAAGGGGUGCUAAUACCGGAUAAUGUCUUCGGACCAAAGAUUUAUCGCCUUUGGAUGGGCCCGCGUUGGAUUAGCUAGUUGGUAGGGUAAAAGCCUACCAAGGCGACGAUCCAUAGCUGGUCUGAGAGGAUGAUCAGCCACACUGGGACUGAGACACGGCCCAGACUCCUACGGGAAGCAGCAAUGGGGAAUAGUGGACAGUGGGCGGAAGCCUGAUCCAGCAAUGCCGCGUGAGUGAUGAAGGCCUUAGGGUUGUAAAGCUCUUUUACCCGUGAUGAUAAUGACAGUACCGAGAGAAUAAGCUCCGGCUAACUCCGUG
rnacentral:rRNA from 1 species